GGUGGAUCACCUGAGGUCAGGAGUUUGAGACCAACCUGGCCAACAUGACGAAACCCCAUCUCUAUGAAAAUACAAAAAUUAGCCAGGCAUAGUGGUGCAGGCCUGUAGUCUCCGCUAAUUGGGAGGCUGAGGUGGGAGAAUCGCUUGAAUCUGGGAGGUGGAAGUUGCAGUGGGCUGAGAUCACACCACUGCACUCUAUCCAGCCUAGGAGACACAGCAAGACUUCACCUCAAAAAAUGAAAAUAAAAAUAGUCUGGGUACUGUGGCUCUUGCCUAUAAUCCUAGCAUUUUUGAAGUGAGGCAGGAAAAUCACUUGAGCUCAGGAGUUUGAGAUCAGCCUGGGCAACAUAGCAAGUCCUGAUUUCUACAAAAAAAUUUGAAGCAUUAGCUGGGCAUGGUGGCAUGUGGAGGCUGAGAUGGAGGAUAUCACCAAGCCCAAGAGGUCAAAGAUGCAGUGAGCCAUAAUCGUGCUGUUGCACUCAAGGUUGUGCAACAGAGUGAGACCCUGUCUCAAAAACAUACAACAGUUGGUAUUAAGCAAUUACUUACAGAUCUGUGUUGAGGUAGAUUAAUAUGGCACCAAUUUGGGUAGACUGGAAGC
rnacentral:lncRNA from 10 species